rnacentral:piRNA from 1 species
AUGCACCACCCUACUGGAAACUUCGUGCGU